UACAGAGGGUGCGAGCGUUGUUCGGAAUUACUGGGCGUAAAGCGCGACGCAGGCGGCUUCUUAAGUCCAUCGGUGAAAUGCCGGGGCUCAACCCCGAGUGUGCCGAGGAUACUGAGAGUCUCGAGUCCGGAAGAGGUGAGUGGAAUUCCGAGUGUAGAGGUGAAAUUCGUAGAUAUUCGGAGGAACACCAGUGGCGAAGGCGGCUCACUGGUCCGGUACUGACGCUGAGGUGCGAAAGCGGUGGGGAGCAAACAGG
rnacentral:rRNA from 1 species